CGCAUUGGCUCUAUUGGAUCCUGCCCCGCCUCCUCCCCUUAGCUAGGCGCGGAAAGGUGUGAAUGGAGCCCCGCCCACCGGGACCCAAGGACCAGGAAUGCGAGAAAGGACGCCGAGCCCGAGCCGAAUUACUUCUGAAGGGAACUAUCACCAUGCUGCAUGGAGCCCUCUCCAGCCAGUGAAGAUCCCCCAGGAACCAGGUUCUCUUUUUCACGUCUGGGUCCUCCACGAACUGUGUAGUUGCUUUCGCGUCCUUUCUUCUGCCGGCCUGCCUUCCCAUUCUGAGUGAUCCGUGAAAAUAGAAAGGCUCAGGAGAUAGUCCAUCUGACCUGCGAUCUAUACCCAUAACCUGUGUCAGGUCCCGGAGGUCCAUCCAGACAGGGAGGAGAGCAGAUGCGGGGCUCAACACACCACCCCCUCCAGUCAGAGAGACUUCGGUCAUUAAGCUGCCUUUUCCUUAGAGUUCAGGUUUGCUUUUGAGACGGAAUUGCUAAGCAUAGGACCAAUGCCUACUUCUUGUUGAGUAACGGCUAGGUGCGGUGAUUCUGAGUCCUUACCAUGUCCAGAUGAGAGGGCGGCGUGGAACACUUGGAAACAGUGACCCCGGGACCUUGGCACAGCCAUAUAUUCUAAGGCUAACCAGAGGAAAGCUCCAGAAGCCCAGCUGAAACCCUGACAAACUGCAAGACCGCUAACUGCCAGUCUGGGGUCCAAGCUGGCUGUCUCCUGUGGUGUAUGCAAAUGAGAAGGCAAAUUUUAACUCCCCACAGCCCUCAGUCCAUCAACUCUGAGGUGUCUCAUCAUGGACCAAAUGUCCAAACACUUCUCUGUCCCCAUCCGUCCUUCCAAAGACCCUGUGAGUCAUCUAUAAACUAUUUCCUGCUUGGA